rnacentral:lncRNA from 1 species
UGUGGCAGGCAUCCCAGCUUGCUUAGAGAAGGAGAAGUUGAAGUCGGCCUCACAGAGGAUUGUUUGGUCCCAGCUGAAUAACCUGCUGGCAUCCACUGUGAGCAGAGUGGUAAGCAGAUUAUGGGCAUCAGACCUUCUUCUCUAGAACUUUCUUCUGCCCCAUGUGGUGGUCACUGCCCAGCUCAAGAGAUAGUCCUGGAGAGGACACAGAGGCAACAAGGUCCAGAGACUUGCCUCAGGGUCACCUCAGGGGCCCUUCCAAUCAUGCUUCCCCCAGUCCCCGAAGCAUCUUCCAGCAGCCAACAUGUUGGUGAAUGGGGUCCUAAACCCUGCACUGCCCAGGAACUGUGCUGUGGAGUCUGGCCACGUUCCCUUAUUGGGGCAGGCAUGAGGCAGUGACUAAAGUGUCCUAAAGCUCCCAGUGAAGGCUCUGAGAUGGCUGGACCGCCCACUGCAUCCUUGGCCCUACAGAAAGAGGGCUCCAUGGAGCAUGCACAGAAGCAGCAAGGGGCAGUGUGACACUGGGAGAGGUACUAAGGAGGGGGCGGCCUUCUGAUCCACGCAAGGAUUCUUAAGGACCUCCUGGCUCAAAACAAUCACUUCCUCUCUUGCUGUGGUUCGUGGACAAUGGAGUCCCAAAGGGAGGCCUUUCCUUGCAACCUCAAAGGGAGGAAAGCCUGCUUUCACAGCUGGCAGGGCCUGCGGACAGCCAGCCAGCUACCUGCACCAACUACCGUCCACCUGUCUCCCGUCACAUCCCCCCCUCUACCCCCGAGUGGCUGGUCUGCGGCGCUUCGGACGUGCUCCUUGCCUUGCAUUCACUCUCCCUCCCGCGCAUUCAGUGGAUGUGUCCCACGUGGAGAAGGCGAAGUUGGGAAGGGGCAGCCCUCGCGAAGGGCCACUUGGUCUGGGCACUUAUUCACUGGGGUGGAAUGGGAUGGCAGCGGAGCAGGGGACAGCCUAGGCUAAAAGGCCGCCCGGGGGCAGCCCCUCCAGGUAACCCGUCCCGCGGCCCGCCAGCAUGGAGCACCAG